rnacentral:rRNA from 1 species
GAUGAACGCUGGCGGCGUGCCUAAUACAUGCAAGUCGAGCGAACAGAUGAGGAGCUUGCUCCUCUGACGUUAGCGGCGGACGGGUGAGUAACACGUGGAUAACCUACCUAUAAGACUGGGAUAACUUCGGGAAACCGGAGCUAAUACCGGAUAAUAUAUUGAACCGCAUGGUUCAAUAGUGAAAGACGGUUUUGCUGUCACUUAUAGAUGGAUCCGCGCCGCAUUAGCUAGUUGGUAAGGUAACGGCUUACCAAGGCAACGAUGCGUAGCCGACCUGAGAGGGUGAUCGGCCACACUGGAACUGAGAAACGGUCCAGACUCCUCAGGGAGGCAGAAGUAGGGAAUCUUCCGCAAUGGGCGAAAGCUUGACGGAGCAACGCCGCGUGAGUGAUGAAGGUCUUCGGAUCGUAAAACUCUGUUAUUAGGGAAGAACAAAUGUGUAAGUAACUAUGCACGUCUUGACGGUACCUAAUCAGAAAGCCACGGCUAACUACGUG